ensembl:lncRNA
GGCUGGGCUGUGUAAAGGAAUUAGGGAGGGCGCGGAAGCCGGUCACGGACGAGUGGGCGUCAACACUUUGUAAACAGCUAGUGGGAAGUGUUGGGAAAACGCUAGUAGGGAUACGGGGAACGGAGAACAGAGUGCUACGGCGGCAGGCUCCCUGCCGUCUGAGGCUUAAUGGCGCCCUAGCUCUAGGGUCCACAGACUGGCAACUGCGCUUAGUGUCGGUAAACGUGUCGCACUUCUAUUGGCAUGAGAUGGAUCUCUGGGGAUUUUGAGCGGAUCUUGAUCUCCGCACUAAAUCUGUGCGGAACUAUUGGUGGCCUGAGCCUCGCGCAGAGUGCUGGACGAGCAGUACACAGGAGCGUGACUGCGCUUUGAAUCCAUAGGGCCUUCUGUGUGCAAUCACUGUGGGCCACUCGGGUGCCAUUGUCCAAAGUCAAUCCGGUUUACAGUGUGGCAGUGUAGAGCACGGAAGUGGCCCGCGGUUAAAUGUGUAGUGAUCGUGAUCGUGUGAUCAGAUUUCAAUAACACCAAAGAAGAAGGAAGCCAGCAUAGGGUUCAAAAGCCAGGCUCUGGAGAUGACUUCUGGGCUUCAUCUAUAAAGAUGCAGCAAUGUCUGUCAGCUUUACAACACGCUGAAUUCUCAAUUCUCGCUUUUGGUUAUAGUGUUUGGUGGCUGAAGCAAUAGAAGAAACAGUUAAGAAGUUGAAGAAGAAGCUGGUGGUCUUGGGAACGCACCGCUGUUUCACCUAGCCAUGGUCCCUCUGCCUAACUGUCUGCCUACCAGAGUCCUGUCCAGUGAGGGUCUCUCACUUUUGGUUUCUCACCCACUACUGGGGACUGAGCUCUAGAUUCCAUGCAAGGAAGGCAGGUACUUUGGCACUGCACUACCAUCACAGGCCCUCUAAGUUUUCAGAAUGUUCUAAGUAGAACCUUGUUUAAACAAGUUUUAAUUGCUUGACUCCUCUGGUGUAAACAUUAAAAUUAAAAUUUCACAGAUCAUUUUUUUUUUGGUCUGCUAAUUAAGGUCAAGAAAAAAAUACUUGGGAAAACUCCAAGGCAGCGUGGUACCUCUCUGUGUAGCUCUUCCCUUGCCUCCUUUGUUCUCAUGGGUUACACAGAUGACCCGUAAGUUAUGUCAGC